GGCUCAACCUGGGAACUGCAUUCGAAACUGGCAGGCUAGAGUCUUGUAGAGGGGGGUAGAAUUCCAGGUGUAGCGGUGAAAUGCGUAGAGAUCUGGAGGAAUACCGGUGGCGAAGGCGGCCCCCUGGACAAAGACUGACGCUCAGGUGCGAAAGCGUGGGGAGCAAACAGGAUUAGAUACCCUGGUAGUCCACGCCGUAAACGAUGUCGACUUGGAGGUUGUGCCCUUGAGGCGUGGCUUCCGGAGCUAACGCGUUAAGUCGACCGCCUGGGGAGUACGGCCGCAAGGUUAAAACUCAAAUGAAUUGACGGGGGCCCGCACAAGCGGUGGAGCAUGUGGUUUAAUUCGAUGCAACGCGAAGAACCUUACCUACUCUUGACAUCCAGAGAACUUUCCAGAGAUGGAUUGGUGCCUUCGGGAACUCUGAGACAGGUGCUGCAUGGCUGUCGUCAGCUCGUGUUGUGAAAUGUUGGGUUAAGUCCCGCAACGAGCGCAACCCUUAUCCUUUGUUGCCAGCGGUUAGGCCGGGAACUCAAAGGAGACUGCCAGUGAUAAACUGGAGGAAGGUGGGGAUGACGUCAAGUCAUCAUGGCCCUUACGAGUAGGGCUACACACGUGCUACAAUGGCGCAUACAAAGAGAAGCGACCUCGCGAGAGCAAGCGGACCUCAUAAAGUGCGUCGUAGUCCGGAUUGGAGUCUGCAACUCGACUCCAUGAAGUCGGAAUCGCUAGUAAUCGUAGAUCAGAAUGCUACGGUGAAUACGUUCCCGGGCCUUGUACACACCGCCCGUCACACCAUGGGAGUGGGUUGCAAAAGAAGUAGGUAGCUUAACCUUCGGGAGGGCGCUUACCACUUUGUGAUUCAUGACUGGGGUGAAGUCGUAACAAGGUAACCGUAGGGGAACCUGCGGUUGGAUCACCUCCUUA
rnacentral:rRNA from 1 species